CCUGAACACCUGGAUCCUGAACACCUGGAUCCUGAACACCUGGGCUGUGUCUGAAAUCACUCCCUAUCCACUAUGUAGUGGACACGCCAUUUUGUAGUGCAGUCCGAAUUCUGAGGACUGAUGACGAUGUAGCCCAGCUGAUCCGGCUGAGGAGGGAGAAGGACCACCCCUUCAGCGGGAGGCGGUUUGCUGCUGCUGCAGGAUGGGAAACUUUGCUGAAAGACAUGCUGCUGUCUGAUCGAGUCAGUCCUGCUCGGGCGGCUAAAAAGUGGGAGAACUUGAAGAAAACGUACAAG